GGGCGCGUAGCUCAGGGGUAGAGCAUCUGCCUUUUAAGCAGAGGGUAGAUGGUUCGAAUCCAUCCGCGCUCACCA
rnacentral:tRNA from 1 species